rnacentral:rRNA from 1 species
GAUGAACGCUAGCGGGAGGCUUAACACAUGCAAGUCGAGGGGCAGCAUAGGGUAGCAAUACUCUGAUGGCGACCGGCAAACGGGUGAGUAACGCGUAUGCAACCUACCCUGUACAGGGGGAUAACCCGGAGAAAUUCGGACUAAUAUCCCGCAAUAAUAUCCGGAGGCAUCUUUGGAUAUUAAAGUUCCGACGGUACGGGAUGGGCAUGCGUAACAUUAGCUGGUUGGUAAGGUAACGGCUUACCAAGGCUAUGAUGUUUAGGGGUCCUGAGAGGGUGGUCCCCCACACUGGUACUGAGACACGGACCAGACUCCUACGGGAGGCAGCAGUGAGGAAUAUUGGUCAAUGGGCGCAAGCCUGAACCAGCCAUCCCGCGUGCAGGAAGACGGCCCUAUGGGUUGUAAACUGCUUUUCCAGGGAGAGAAACUUACGCACGUGUUGCGUGACUGACGGUACCCUGGGAAUAAGCAUCGACUAACUCCGUG